rnacentral:ncRNA from 1 species
ACCUAGUCCUAACCUUGGAGUCAAUUCUUACUUAACUUACACAUGCAAGUCUCCGCACCCCUGUGAAAACGCCCUCAACUCCUUUUUUAGGGUUGAUGGAGCAGGUAUCAGACUAAAUUAUUUAUCGAAAACACCUAGCCUCGCCACACCCAUAAGGGCCCUUGCAGCAGUGAUUAACAUUGAAUAUAAGCGACAGCUUGAUUCAGUUAAAGUAUAAUGAGCUGGCAAAGCUAGUGCCAGUCGCCUCGGUUAAACUACAUCAGCUCAAAUUGACCCCCACUCGGCGUAAAGCGUGAUCAAAUCUCACCCCCGUAUCCCCUAGAGUUAAAACCUAACAACUGUUUAACUAACAAACCCCCCCACGAAAGUCACUCUACCCCCACAACUUGAACUCACGACAACUAGGGCCCAAACUGGGAUUAGAUACCCCAUUAUGCCUAGUCGUAAACUAUAACUUACACCAUAAUCGCCCGGGAACUACGAGCAAAGCUUAAAACCCAAGGGACUUGACGGUGCCCCACAGCCCCUAGAGGAGCCUGUCCUACAAUUGAUGAUCCGCGUUAAACCUCACCAUUUCUAGUUUUUCAACUGGUAUACCUCCGUCGUCAGCUGUCCCUCUGAAUGUAACAAAGCGAAGCCCCACGUCUAAAGUAUAACAGAUCUUAUUUUCUAAAAACCACACAUUUAAGGUAUAACAGAUUUUAUUUUCUAAGACCACACGUCAGGUCAAGGUGCCGUCAAUGAAAUGGGAAGAGAUGGGCUACACUUUCUAACAUAGAAAAACGGAAGACAAUAUGAAAUUUAUGUCAUAAGACGGAUUUAGGAGUAAAAUAACUAUAGAAUGGUUUUUUUAAUCUAUUAUUGGGGUCGCGUACUCA